UGGGGAAUUAUGACAAUGGGCGAAAGCCUGAUCCAGCAAUGCCGCGUGUGUGAAGAAGGCCUUCGGGUUGUAAAGCACUUUUGUCCGGAAAGAAAUCCUUGGCUCUAAUACAGUCGGGGGAUGACGGUACCGGAAGAAUAAGCACCGGCUAACUACGUGCCAGCAGCCGCGGUAAUACGUAGGGUGCAAGCGUUAAUCGGAAUUACUGGGCGUAAAGCGUGCGCAGGCGGUUUGCUAAGACCGAUGUGAAAUCCCCGGGCUCAACCUGGGAACUGCAUUGGUGACUGGCAGGCUAGAGUAUGGCAGAGGGGGGUAGAAUUCCACGUGUAGCAGUGAAAUGCGUAGAGAUGUGGAGGAAUACCGAUGGCGAAGGCAGCCCCCUGGGCCAAUACUGACGCUCAUGCACGAAAGCGUGGGGGAGCAAACAGGAUUAGAUACCCUGGGUAGUCCACGCCCUAAACGAUGUCAACUAGUUGUUGGGGAUUCAUUUCCUUAGUAACGUAGCUAACGCGUGAAGUUGACCGCCUGGGGAGUACGGUCGCAAGAUU
rnacentral:rRNA from 1 species